GUGCCCUAAAACAAUGAAAGCCCUACCUCUCUUUCAUCCUUGCGGCUCCGAAGACCGCGCCAGUGUGAAUCAGUAACACAACAACAAA
rnacentral:sRNA from 1 species